GGAAGCCCGGGCAUCCCAGCUAUUCCGACUCGGCCGGCUUCACCUUUGUCUCCCUUCUGCUCACACAAACACAUAUCAAACACUGCACCUUGGAUCCUGGUGUGCCUGGUAGCCCAUCCAGUCCAUCACUCCCAGUGCCGGACCCGCCCUGUGAAGAGGGCACACUUGCAUUUUAAAGGCCACCAUGGACCUGAUAUUGGAUCUCAAGCCCCAACGAAUGUUAUCACAUUCAACAUUAAUCCUAUCAAUGGGACACCACACACGUACCAGUGAUUUGCCAGGGGGUCCAGGCUUUCCUUCAGGACCCUGUGGAGAUGGAGAAACAGAUGAUGAAAGAGGGAGCAAAUGCUGGCCGAUCUUCCCCAACUCGCCCUUCUCUCCCGGAUCUCCUGGCCGCCCGGGCAGACCUAGUGGGCCCUACAUCAAAGGAGAUGAGAACAAGAGAACAGGAGAACCGGAGAACAUGAGAACAGGAGAACCGGAGAACAGGAGAAAACGAGAACAGGAGAACAUGAGAACCGGAGAACAGGAGAACAUGAGAACAGGAGAACAGGAACAGAGCAGCAGGGUUAUCGGAUGGAUAUCAGGAUGAGCUCAUGCUUGAACUACCGCCUGUCCUCACAGCAAUGGAGGACAAGAGUGGACAAAGGACAGAGUGGACAAAGUGACUCUGCUCAUGUAACACAGCCAAUGAUGAUCACAAACAACAUCCCUGUAGCAUAAUUAAUGCUAUUGCAUGACGAGCAUACUGCAUAACCCCCCCCUCCAUGCCACAGCCGAACUGUGGCCACUCUUAUACAUUUUCUUUAAAUAGUUAAAUAUAUAGAUAUAUA